rnacentral:rRNA from 1 species
GGCCUAUCAGCUUGUUGGUGGGGUAAUGGCCUACCAAGGCGACGACGGGUAGCCGGCCUGAGAGGGCGACCGGCCACACUGGGACUGAGACACGGCCCAGACUCCUACGGGAGGCAGCAGUGGGGAAUAUUGCACAAUGGGCGAAAGCCUGAUGCAGCGACGUCGUGUGAGGGAUGACGGCCUUCGGGUUGUAAACCUCUUUCAGCAGGGAAGAAGCGCAAGUGACGGUACCUGCAGAAGAAGCGCCGGCUAACUACGUGCCAGCAGCCGCGGUAAUACGUAGGGCGCAAGCGUUGUCCGGAAUUAUUGGGCGUAAAGAGCUCGUAGGCGGCUUGUCACGUCGGAUGUGAAAGCCCGGGGCUUAACCCCGGGUCUGCAUUCGAUACGGGCUAGCUAGAGUGUGGUAGGGGAGAUCGGAAUUCCUGGUGUAGCGGUGAAAUGCGCAGAUAUCAGGAGGAACACCGGUGGCGAAGGCGGAUCUCUGGGCCAUUACUGACGCUGAGGAGCGAAAGCGUGGGGAGCGAACAGGAUUAGAUACCCUGGUAGUCCACGCCGUAAACGUUGGGAACUAGGUGUUGGCGACAUUCCACGUCGUCGGUGCCGCAGCUAAACGCAUUAAGUUCCCGCCUGGGGAGUACGG